AUUGAACGCUGGCGGCAUGCCUUACACAUGCAAGUCGAACGGCAGCACGGGUGCUUGCACCUGGUGGCGAGUGGCGAACGGGUGAGUAAUACAUCGGAACAUGUCCUGUAGUGGGGGAUAGCCCGGCGAAAGCCGGAUUAAUACCGCAUACGAUCUACGGAUGAAAGCGGGGGACCUUCGGGCCUCGCGCUAUAGGGUUGGCCGAUGGCUGAUUAGCUAGUUGGUGGGGUAAAGGCCUACCAAGGCGACGAUCAGUAGCUGGUCUGAGAGGACGACCAGCCACACUGGGACUGAGACACGGCCCAGACUCCUACGGGAGGCAGCAGUGGGGAAUUUUGGACAAUGGGCGAAAGCCAGAUCCAGCAAUGCCGCGUGUGUGAAGAAGGCCUUCGGGUUGUAAAGCACUUUUGUCCGGAAAGAAAUCCUUGGCCCUAAUACGGUCGGGGGAUGACGGUACCGGAAGAAUAAGCACCGGCUAACUACGUG
rnacentral:rRNA from 1 species